AAUCCACCCUCCUUGGAGACCCAGUGUCGUUGCUUGCACACCGCCCGGUCCUGGCUCUGAUACCAUUUGUAACAUCUCAAGCCCACCGCUAACAGAUGAAAACCAAUAUCCACCCUUCCGCCUUAACAUGACUAUUAAUGGCUGAUUACUCAAUUCACACUGUGUGUAACCCUUACCUUGAUAACUAUUGACAAAUAUGGCUGGUUACCCGAUUCACACAGCGUGUAACCCUUACCUUGAUAACCAUUUUCUACAAUCACCCGUAUAGAGACAAAUAGUGGCUGGUUACCUAAUUCACACUGCUGGGUUGCCAUUUUUGAGAUGGGAGCUAGCUGGGUUGGAGGAAACUCAUAUGGCUGCGGUGAAGGAGUGAUAUGUUACAAGUUUUCAAAGAAUUACACUCUUAUUAGCCAAUUAUUACUUAGUUACAGGUGAUAGCUGCAGAUAUAUCGGCUGUGAUUAUGUCAUACUGAGACAAGAAUCGACCUUUUCUUGAAUAAUAUCUUUUGCUGACUUUAUUUUUCUUCCCCAUGAAAGCAGUAACGGUUCAAUUAUGCAGUUUGGCCGUAGAAGUUGAAUGAGGAGAAAAGCAUGAAGCUUAUUGGAGAGCAGAAUCAGGAAACUUCUAGUCUUCACCAGAAAGAAUGAGCCCAGGAUUUCGUCAGAACCGUACAAAAAGGAAAGCAGCCAUUGGUCUAAACUCACUGCUCUGGUUCAAAGGACAUAGUCAAUGUUCUACACAGUCAAUCAGUGAAAAGUAUGCAGGGUUUGAUUUUAUCAGUUUUCGUUGUUGAAACAAUUGGCCUCUGCGUUAUGUCAAUGAAUGGGUAGGAUGAAAAAAGAUAGGCUAGAUUAUAGAACUAUUCGUUAAUUUUGCCGAUACCCUAACGGAUUUAUGGAUAGAUAGUCAAAGUGGACAAAGCAAGUGUCUCAGUCAUCUGUUCUACGUCAUUGUCUUAUCGACUAUUCAUCCAGUAUUCUAUGUUGUUCUUUUAGGUUUAAUCUAGCUAGCAAGUGUCUCAGUCAUCUGUUCUAUAUCACUACCGUAUUGAUUAUUCAUGUUAGCAUUAUCACUUUUGAUA